AUUCUUCAGGGCAGGGUGCAAUUCCCUACCGGUGGUAUAGCCCACGAGCCGCAAGGCAUGAUUCGGUGAGAUUCCGAGGCCGACAGUAAAGUCUGGAUGAAAGAAGAUG
rnacentral:ncRNA from 1 species